CACAAAGGCUCCUAUCUGUCUAUACCCAAGCACUUCUGUGAUGCUCCUGUACUCAUGACCCAGCUGUUUUUCUUGUCAUCCUGGCUCCUCUUUGGCAAGAAGAUUAAGUUUACUGAAUAAGCAGUGAUAAAAAGCUAGAAGAAGUUUCUAGGCAUAUAGUUCUUUGCAAGCUUUUUUUUUUUUUUUAAUCACCAUGGAGUUGAUGCUUUGGGCCAUAUUUGUGGAAUGGAAGUAAGAAAAGAUUCUUGAGAAUUUUUCAACUGAUGUUUUGAGAAUUUUUCAACUGAUGUUUUGAGAAUUUUUCAACUGAUGUUUUUGGUUACACAGAGAAAGGCGUGGAAGGAAAAGGUAGAAAGACUUAAUCAAGUCACUGAAAAUAAUAUUGGAAUCAUUAUCAAGUAUUAUACCAGGACGACAAUGGAGAGGAUGGCUUCACUUUCUGGAUUUGUUGAUGAGUCAGAUGCAUCUCUCGAAGCUUGUAAUUAUUAAGACUAGUCGGCAAGAAUGAACAAUUUCCAGAGACCCAAGGAUCCAAAGAACCUACCAAAUGACAGGGCUCAGAAACUGAACGUGCAGUCAUCGACAUCUUAUAGACAAAGAAGAGAUGAUACAUCAUCUACA
rnacentral:lncRNA from 1 species